UACAGAGGUGGCAAGCGUUGUUCGGAAUUACUGGGCGUAAAGGGCGCGUAGGCGGCCUACUAAGUCAGACGUGAAAUCCCCCGGCUUAACCUGGGAACUGCGUCUGAUACUGCCAGGCUCGAGAGCGGUAGGGGAGACUGGAACUCCUGGUGGAGCGGUGAAAUGCGUAGAUAUCAGGAGGAACACCGGUGGUGAAAACGAGUCUCUGGUCCGCUUCUGACGCUCAGGUGCGAAAGCUAGGGGAGCAAACGGG
rnacentral:rRNA from 1 species